AUAUCAAUAAGCGGAGGAAAAGAAACCAACAGGGAUUACCCUAGUAACGGCGAGUGAAGCGGUAACAGCUCAAAUUUGAAAUCUGACCUUCACGGGUCCGAGUUGUAAUUUGUAGAGGAUGUUUCGGAUAAGGCUUUGGUUUAAGUUUCUUGGAACAGAACGUCAUAGAGGGUGAGAGUCCCGUCUAGAGCUGAUAGCCGCGUCCAUGUGAAACUCCUUCGACGAGUCGAGUUGUUUGGGAAUGCAGCUCAAAAUGGGUGGUAAAUUUCAUCUAAAGCUAAAUAUUGGCCAGAGACCGAUAGCGCACAAGUAGAGUGAUCGAAAGAUGAAAAGCACCUUGAAAAGAGGGUUAAAUAGUACGUGAAAUUGUUGAAAGGGAAGCGCUUGUGACCAGACUUGGGCGCGGCGGAUCAUCCGGGGUUCUCUCCGGUGCACUUCGCCGCGUCUAGGCCAGCAUCAGUUCGUCGCGGGGGAAAAAGGCUUCGGGAACGUGGCUCCUCCGGGAGUGUUAUAGCCCGUUGCAUAAUACCCUGCGGUGGACUGAGGACCGCGCAUCUGCAAGGAUGCUGGCGUAAUGGUCACCAGCGA
rnacentral:rRNA from 1 species